GAUGAACGCUGGCGGCGUGCCUAAUACAUGCAAGUCGAGCGAACAGACGAGGAGCUUGCUCCUCUGACGUUAGCGGCGGACGGGUGAGUAACACGUGGAUAACCUACCUAUAAGACUGGGAUAACUUCGGGAAACCGGAGCUAAUACCGGAUAAUAUAUUGAACCGCAUGGUUCAAUAGUGAAAGACGGUUUUGCUGUCACUUAUAGAUGGAUCCGCGCCGCAUUAGCUAGUUGGUAAGGUAACGGCUUACCAAGGCAACGAUGCGUAGCCGACCUGAGAGGGUGAUCGGCCACACUGGAACUGAGACACGGACCAGACGCCUACGGGAGGCAGCAGUAGGGAAUGGUCCGCAAUGGGCGAAAGCAUGACGGAGCAACGCCGCGUGAGUGAUGAAGGUCUUCGGAUCGUAAAACUCUGUUAUUAGGGAAGAACAAAUGUGUAAGUAACUAUGCACGUCUUGACGGUACCUAAUCAGAAAGCCACGGCUAACUACGUG
rnacentral:rRNA from 1 species